AAAGGAAGGAAGCAUGGUAAUAUGCGCAAAAAUUGAAUUGGGUCUCUAAGUCUGCCCUCUCUAAUGCCCUUGGCUUUGAUUUGAGGGCAUGGUUCGGCAGCAAAACA